AUUAUUGACGUCACUUAGAAUGAAAAAGAAGCGCUCAGCGGUGGCUCUAGCAAAAGGGAAACCCGCUGUCCAGUGGCUAUUUCGCAGUUGCGGUAGCCUAUAGUAUUUUAGUGAGCGUGUAGAAAUACAAGUGAAGAUACCUUGGAGUAAAACUGAACCGUACGACCGUGUAGCCUACUUUUUUUCUGCAAUGGCUGAUCAUCAUCUUUUACAUUAUAGCGACUCAGCUGCGGUUGGGAACCGUUUCGCCCGCAAAGGUGCUCUGCGGCAGAAAAACGUGCAUGAAGUCAAAAAUCACAAAUUUACUGCCAGGUUUUCAAGCAACCGACAUUCUGCAGUCAUUGCACAGACUUCAUAUGGGGAUUUGGGAAACAAGGAUUCCAGUGCCAAGGUUGCUUCACUCCGCUCUCCAGGAGACAUCAUCCCCUGCAGGUGAUAUCAUCAUGUAUGAUAUGUUAGUUACACUGACGAGUGGACCGGUGACACAUGCCCGGCAACCAGGCUGUCACUUAGUGAGCCCUAAUGGCAGCGUGGGAG